rnacentral:rRNA from 1 species
UAAUACGUAGGGGGCAAGCGUUGUCCGGAAUCAUUGGGCGUAAAGAGCUCGUAGGCGGUUCAGUAAGUCGGGUGUGAAAGCUCCGAGCUCAACUCGGAGAGGCCACUCGAUACUGCUGUGACUAGAAUCCAGUAGGGGAGUGUGGAAUUCCUGGUGUAGCGGUGAAAUGCGCAGAUAUCAGGAGGAACACCAGCGGCGAAGGCGGCACUCUGGGCUGGUAUUGACGCUGAGGAGCGAAAGUGUGGGUAGCAAACAGG